CCCUUAGAUGUUCUGGGCCGCACGCGUGCUACACUGAUGCAUUCAACGAGUUUCUUCCUGGUCCGAGAGGAAUGGGUAACCUUUUGAAAGUGCAUCGUGAUAGGGAUAGACUAUUGCAAUUAUUGGUCUUCAACGAGGAAUUCCUAGUAGACGUAGUUCAUCAGACUGCAUCGAUUACGUCCCUGCCCUUUGUACACACCGCCCGUCGCUCCUACCGAUUGAAUGCUCAGGUGAGCCAUUCGGACUUUCAUCAUGCUGGUUUCCAGUUUUGAUGAAGGAAAGUCUUGCGAACCUUAUCAUUUAGAGGAAGGAGAAGUCGUAACA
rnacentral:rRNA from 1 species